ACACAUGCAAGUCGAGGGGCAGCAUCGCGAUAGCUUGCUAUUGCGGAUGGCGACCGGCGCACGGGUGAGUAACGCGUAUCCAACCUUCCCGCAACUGGGGAAUAACCUUGCGAAAGUAAGACUAAUACCCCAUGGUCUCCACGGAUGGCAUCUGAAGUGGAGUAAAGGUUUCGGCCGGUUGCGGAUGGGGAUGCGUCCGAUUAGCUUGACGGCGGGGUAACGGCCCACCGUGGCAUCGAUCGGUAGGGGUUCUGAGAGGAAGGUCCCCCACAUUGGAACUGAGACACGGUCCAAACUCCUACGGGAGGCAGCAGUGAGGAAUAUUGGUCAAUGGGCGGAAGCCUGAACCAGCCAAGUAGCGUGAAGGACGACUGCCCUAUGGGUUGUAAACUUCUUUUAUGCGGGGAUAAAGUUCGCCACGUGUGGCGUUUUGCAGGUACCGCAUGAAUAAGGACCGGCUAAUUCCGUGCCAGCAGCCGCGGUAAUACGGAAGGUCCAGGCGUUAUCCGGAUUCAUUGGGUUUAAAGGGAGCGUAGGCCGCCUUUUAAGCGUGUUGUGAAAUGUAGGGGCUCAACCCCUGCACUGCAGCGCGAACUGGAGGGCUUGAGUACACACAAAGUAGGCGGAAUUCAUGGUGUAGCGGUGAAAUGCUUAGAUAUCAUGAAGAACCCCGAUUGCGAAGGCAGCUUACUG
rnacentral:rRNA from 1 species